UUUCCUUUUUCACCUCCUUUUUUCACUUCUUAUAUUUCUUUCUUUCUUUCCACCGUCUUUACCCAAAACCCAGAUAGAACAUGAGCUCGGCGCUACUGCCAAGUCGAAUUGGAGAUGGGUCCGAAGAUGGAAUGUGAUUUGGAGAUGGGAGCACGCAUGGAUCUUCGACUAGAGGAAAUCUCUCAACACUUAGAAGCUUGAAAUUUGCUGUUGUGCUUCCCUGUGAGAAAUUGGUGGUUGUGACAGAAGUAUUAGCUAGACCUUAGCCUUAGCGUGCAUUGGGUAGGCACUCAAUUCAAAGACUCCGUCGUAUUCUAGGUGAGUGGUAGGUGAGGCCAAAUUCCCUUUUAUCACCAGCCAAAUCAAUUGUGAAUUGAAAAUUGUGAUUGUCUGGGUCUUCUUCCUUUGUGUUCACAAGCCCAGCUCUACAUCAAUCUAAUUGUUGCACUUAAUUAAACCUCUUGUCUUAUGCAUAGCUUAAUUAAGAGCUUUUGUCUUGUGCAUGAAUUGAUGGUCUGCAAUGCCACUUUGUCAGCUUCUGCAAUUGUGUUGGACACUUUAUUAAUUAAGCCCUUUUGUUUUAUGCAUAGCUUAAUUAAUCUAUCUCAUGGCCUGCACAUCACCAGAGCACUCGUUCUUUGUUUUUUCUUUAUACAUAUAUAUUGCUUUAUGCUUUGUCAAGUUCUGGGAUGGUUUGGAUCACAUUGACCAUACUUAAAUUAAAGGUCCAUGCCCAGAUGAAGUGCCACCGCCAAGACUUUUUUCAUUUGGCUUUUAUAUUGGCACCGCUUCGAAGCUUUUUGGGACGCAAAUAUUUCAAAGUUGCUGCAUUGAACUUUGAAGUUUGCUUAGUCACCUUCGCUGCAAAUUCUCAUCUUUCUUUCUUCCCUUGACACGCUGCAUCCACGAACACAUACUUGUCACCUCUUGAAAUCAAGUCUAGACUGCCUCAUUUGAUCGUCUUGGCCUUUUGCAAGUAUAAUAACCUGUGCAUCAGAUUUGUCUUGGAAUUGGCUGCCACAAAGUGUGUGUUUAAUUUUGACAACUUGAGACUCGCCUUGCAAUUCCACUGCACAGCUUUCUAUCUUGCCUAUCAUCUUUUGGUGUUAAAAGCCUCAGACUGCCUCUGACCAUUUUGGCCUUCUGCAAACAUAAAGACUUGUGCACCAAAUUUGUUCUUAAUUGGAUGCUUCAAAGCUUGUAUUCAAUUUUAACAAAUUUGUUUGUUGUGCACAAGUUCAAGCAGGACAGGUGAUUGUAGUCACAGUAGUUUUAAAGUCUCGAAGCUUUAUUUUGAGGCAAAUUCGGUGAAGCAUGUAGCUUUGAGUUUCUUUAUGGUUUGAAACUGCUACAGAGACGCUGCUGCCAGGAUUUGAGAGAGCAAGGCUUGUUGCUGCUACAAUAUAGGAAGGCCCGCUGGUGGGAUUUGAAAGCGCAAGGCCUACACCAGAGGCGCCACUGCGAUAUGUUCAUCGAGACGCUGCCCGGCAUGUUCAUCGGGACGCUGCCCGGCAUGGUUUCAUCAGGACGCUGCCCGGCAUGUUGGUUUUGACAUCAUUGACACCCGAAGGUGCCGCUGUGAGGAGGGCCUGCAACAGAAAAGAGAAGGUGGUGGAGAGCUAUGGAAUGAGGUCCUGAACCUUUUGUCUUCCAAGGUCCUUUGCUGCUUUCUCCUUCUGCUUUUCCACCGUUGCUGUGCUCCGUUCCAUCCUCCUUUUCUUCUUUUCAUGUAGUGUUUUUAUACUGCACCGUAGAUGAGUUUGGCUUGUGUACAACAUUGAAAGCUUUAGAGUUCAACUUGAAGUGAACUCGUUGGAUAUUUUAUCUCCUUUCUCUUUUGACGUGAAGAUUGCAACUUCUUUUUCAAUUGCUUGUCUAGAGUUUCAAACAAGCUAGAAGUCAGAUGCUUCGCAAACCCAAUAUAAGCAGCUUAAUUAUUUCUUUUGUUUAGAGUUUCACCAGCUAUCAAACUCGUCCCCUAUUUUCUUCGAAAUAAAAUGCUUUUAAUUUUAUUUAAAUUAAAGCACUCAUAUU